rnacentral:rRNA from 1 species
UACGAAGGGGGCUAGCGUUGUUUGGAAUCACUGGGCGUAAAGCGCUCGUAGGCGGAUUUUUAAGUCAGGGGUGAAAUCCCGAGGCUCAACCUCGGAACUGCCUUUGAUACUGGAGAUCUUGAGUCCGGAAGAGGUAAGUGGAACUGCGAGUGUAGAGGUGAAAUUCGUAGAUAUUCGCAAGAACACCAGUGGCGAAGGCGGCUUACUGGUCCGGAACUGACGCUGAGGUGCGAAAGCGUGGGGAGCAAACAGG